AUUGAACGCUGGCGGCAGGCCUAACACAUGCAAGUCGAGCGGAGCGGCGGACGGGUGAGUAAUGCCUAGGAAGCUGACUGGCAGUGGGGGAUAACGUCCGUACACGGGCCCUAAUACCGCAUCUUAUCCGAUGAGCCUAGGGCGGAUUAGCUAGUAGGUGGGGUAAAGGCCCACCAAGGCGACGAUCCGUAUCUGGUCUGAGCGGAUGAUCAGUCACACUGGAACUGAGACACGGGCCAGACUCCUACGGGAGGCAGCAGUGGGGAAUAUUGGACAAGGGGCGAAAGCCUGAUCCAGCCAUGCCGCGGUUGUGAAGAAGGUCUUCGGAUUGUAAAGCACUUUAAGUGGGGAGGCGUUACCAUCAGAAUAAGCACCGGCUAACUUCGUGCCAGCCGCCGCGGUAAUUC
rnacentral:rRNA from 1 species